ensembl:lncRNA
AUGCUCACCAUGAGGCUUAUUUUUAGCAAUUUGCUUCUGUUUCUUGCUCUGGGACCCUGUUUCAAGUCCACUGAUGCACAAGAGACAACAACAGAGACAGAUGCAAACCUCAGCACCACAUUACUGGACAGUGACACUGUGGAGACAAUGUUAAGUGAUGAAAUCACCAGCACCACACCUGAAAAUACAAAUACUCUACUACCAACAGAAACGGAUACGCAUAAUCCAGAAACCACACUUGUUUAUCAAGUAAGCACCAUGCUUGAGAAACCAACAGUUGAGAGUACUCCAGCACUCAGCACUGAGAUCGAGCAAACGUCAACAAAAUCUGUUUCUGAAACAACAACUGUACAAACAGAACAGACCACAGUGACCACCCCUGCUGUGCCUGUUAAUGUGGAAACAACAGUGACUAACCAAAUAACUUCAGACACCCCAAGCCCAAGUCAAUAUGAAUCAACUGUUGGCUUCAUUGAGUUAACAGAACGUCCUACAGAUGAGAUCACCACAGCAGCUGUGACCAUGACCACUGAUUCAGCAGAAGCCCUCAAUCCCACAUCCAUCCUGACCACACCACCUGCAGACCGGUCUCCGUCCAUCAUCUCCGACCUUGUGGACACCAGGACUGAAACCUCCACUACAAGUCUAACAUCAACCUCUCAGCUCCCUCUUAUAUAUACUGCUGCACCCGUGCACCCGUACUCGACGUCUGAUGAAGAAUCAGUCUCCACCCAUUUCACCACCAUCAUCGCUGGCAUAGUUAGCAAGGAAAGCAGUUCGCCUAUACAAACCAGCUGGAUAUUAAUACUGAUAGUGUGUGUGGCCUUUAUUUCUGUGCUAUGUGUGGGCAUGAUUCUGUAUAUCCAGUGGAGAAAGAAAAACGCUUCAAGGAAUUUCGGCCAUAUGUCCAAGUCCAAGAAGAAAAAAGGGGGGGAGGGUGACGCAUGGGCGGGGCCUGUCAAUCUGGAGGCCGGAGCUGAAUGUGAUGCUGAGGUACAGGAUGGUCUUCUGCCUAAUAAUGGGAAACCAGAUGGAGAUGAUAUGGUGCUCAGCACAUUCGCCGCACUGGAUGCAGGAGACACGUCUAACGGUGGAGUGGGUGGAGACGGUACCAAGGAGGCUAAGAAAUGGGAGGAGCAGGAGCCUUUGUUUUUCAUAGAUGAGGAUGUGAAUGAAGACAAGACAGGAAAAACACUGGCAGAGAAUGAGAAACAGAAAGGAGAUGAAAAAAGUGAAGAGAAGGGGAUGAAUGGAGGAGAAACGUUCUGUCUCACCACAGCUGUUUAA